rnacentral:rRNA from 1 species
UGGGGGAUAUUUCACAAUGGGCGAAAGCCUGAUGCAGCGACGCCGCGUGGGGGAUGAAGGCCUUCGGGUUGUAAACUUCUUUUGCUCUGAACAAGGCAUGCCUUUGGGGUGUGUUGAGUGUAGGGGUUGAUUAGCGCCGGCUAACUACGUGCCAGCAGCCGCGGUAAUACGUAGGGCGCGAGCGUUGUCCGGAAUUAUUGGGCGUAAAGGGCUUGUAGGUGGCUGGUUGCGUCUGUCGUGAAAGCUCAUGGCUUAACUGUGGGUUUGCGGUGGGUACGGGCUGGCUUGAGUGCAGUAGGGGAGGCUGGAAUUCCUGGUGUAGCGGUGGAAUGCGCAGAUAUCAGGAGGAAUACCGGUGGCGAAGGCGGGUCUCUGGGCUGUUACUGACGCUGAGGAGCGAAAGCGUGGGGAGCGAACAGG